rnacentral:tRNA from 1 species
AGGAGAAUAGUUAAUUAUAACAUUUAAAUUGCAAUUAAAAAAUACACCUGUGUUUCUCUUA